rnacentral:rRNA from 1 species
UGGGGAAUAUUGGACAAUGGGCGAAAGCCUGAUCCAGCCAUGCCGCGUGUGUGAAGAAGGUCUUCGGAUUGUAAAGCACUUUAAGUUGGGAGGAAGGGCCAUUACCUAAUACGUGAUGGUUUUGACGUUACCGACAGAAUAAGCACCGGCUAACUCUGUGCCAGCAGCCGCGGUAAUACAGAGGGUGCAAGCGUUAAUCGGAAUUACUGGGCGUAAAGCGCGCGUAGGUGGUUUGUUAAGUUGGAUGUGAAAUCCCCGGGCUCAACCUGGGAACUGCAUUCAAAACUGACUGACUAGAGUAUGGUAGAGGGUGGUGGAAUUUCCUGUGUAGCGGUGAAAUGCGUAGAUAUAGGAAGGAACACCAGUGGCGAAGGCGACCACCUGGACUGAUACUGACACU